UUCAAUAAAUCCUGACAAAUAUUCACAUUUUUUUUCUAGAACAAAUUUCAACGAGAAGUAGUGCUGGGAGAAAUUUUAAGAAUUUUGAUAUAAAAAUACAAUUUGCAUUCCAUAUCUGACACCUAAUGAUGGAUACUCAGUAAUUAUUUAUUUGCAGACUGAUUACAGUCUCAUUAGGAUUACAUAAAGAUCAAUGUAAUCAUCUGGUAUUAUUUUCCUUCUGCCUGGACGACUUGCUUUAACAUUUCAAGUUGUGUGGGUCUGCUGCUGAUGAAUUUAUACAAAUUUUGUAAGUCUAAAAUAGUCUUUAUUUAUCUUCAUUAUUGAAAGGUAUUUUUUCUCAGUAGUUUUCUUUUUUACUCCCUCCUCGGUAUUUUAAAGAUGUGCUUGACUGUCUUCUUGCUUGCAUUAUUCUCAUAAGAAAUCGGCCGUCUUUCUUAUCUUUGUUCCUGUGUAUGUAACACGUCUUUUCUCGGCCUAUUUGUAAGAUUUUCUCUUUAUCACAGAUUUUUAAAAAUUUUAUUAUGAUGUACAUUUAUAUAGUUUUAUUCUUUUUAAAGUAGUUUUUCAAAUGUGGCUUCUAUUUCAGCUGAUUGAAUUUUUUCUUCCUCAUUGUUCUUAUUUUUCUGCUUUUUUCUGCAUGCCUAGUAAUUUUUUAUUCAAUGCCAGACACUGCAAAUUUUACCCGUUGGGAGAUUUGAUUAUUAUUCAUACAAUUUUUAGCUUUAUUCUGGCAUGCAAUUAAUUUACUUGGUAAGUGUUUCAUUCUGUUAGUUCCUGUUUUUAUGAUUUGUAGGCUGGAGUAAGGCAGUAUUUAGUCUAGAGCUUAUUAUUUCCCUCUCCUUAUAUAUGACUCUCUUAACAGUAAACAAAAUGACUCUUAAUUUAAGUCUGAAUAUGAGUGGCAGUGGCAUCCAAAGGGGCAGGGUGAUGAGAGUGUUCCACUCUGUAGAGAAUUUUAUAAUAAUUGCUCUGUUUACUGUAAAUUUUUAAUAAAAUAUGUAUAAGCUUAAAAUUAGCACAUUAUUAUUACUUACUAUACUUUAGUUUUUAUGUGGAGUUUAAUUCAGAGAACUUCCAAUUUCAUAAUUGUCUCCUAGCACACAUGGGCUUAGCCACAGGUAUUUGAAUUCAGAAUAAGUUCUUUUGUGUUUAUCAUUGUUUAAACUUGUGAUAAGCAUUUGUUGUACUUUUAUAAAUAUUUGCUUACAUUUAUCACCUUCUUUUUAAUAAGUGAUUGUUUUUGUUUUUCUCAUUUAAAAAACUCCAGAUACAUAAAAGUUAUUAAACGGUGUGUUCAUAUAUUUCAUACUUAUUUUCUUUUGUAUUUGUUAUUUACCUAUUAAUUGUAUUAAUGGGAUUCUUCAUUUUUUUGAAGGGGGAAGUAUGAGAGGAAUGUACAGAAGAGUUUCAUCUUUCAUAUUACUAAAGUAGCCCAUCUUAAGAUUUUCUAAAGAAAAAUAACCCUUGGAAAACUAAGAAUUAUGUUUUGGAAAUUGAAAGAUUUCUCAAUAUUAUUCCUCCUCCUUAGACACGAUUCUCUUAAUAAUAAACAAAUUGACUAUUAAUUUAACUCUGAAUAUGACUUAGUGGUAAUGGCAUCCAAAGGGCAGGGUAAUGGGAGUGUAUUAUUGUUAGUUAUUUAAAAUUAUUUUCUCUUUGUAUAGCCUAAGAGUGCUGCAUUUGUCUUCUUUCUAUGGUAGUGCCUGUUUUCAUUAGGAUCAUUCCCCUAAAUGUUUGUCAAUAUUUGGCUGUCUGUUUAUAUUAAAAAUGCUGUGCUUGAAACCUA